UCAGGCAUUUCUCAUUCAAGUACAUAGCCUACUCUGCCCUCUGUUGGAAAAAAACUGUACCCUACAUAGUCUUACGAGGCAUGGGCUAAUUCUUUACGACUUGACUUGAAUUUGGACGUGUUGUUUUGGGAAAAGUUGGAUUCGAUGUUACGCGAUAAGCUUCACCCAAAGAUCCUUAAUAUACAACCGGCUUUAUCAACCGUCUCUGCUUCACCAAUGUCAUUGCAAAAAGAACGUUCAAUUGUGAUGUCAUUUCCCUUUCCCACAUUCUGUGUACAUUCUGUGCAGAUUUAGAACACCUGUACUGGCCCUGGACACGGUGUUUUUCGGCCAGGACAGCUAAAUAUUAUGUGGAAAUUAAGAAUUGCAGCGCAUUUUCAUAGCCCACUUACGUCAAAUUGUGAUUUACAAACUAACUCGACAAGUUAAUUUACUUUUAGAUGCACAUGUUCCAUGCCCGAUUUGAAUAUUACCCUUACCAGAAUGAGGACAGCAUUAGGAGAUUGUUGGACAGCGAUGAUCACUCUGUUCACUUCCUGCCAGUGGUUGACACGACAAAAUUCAAACGACAGAUUUGCCUCCAGCUCAGCUGUCUGCUGUCCUUCCUCGGACAAUCUUGUGCCAAGCCCUCCACGCUGCACCACAACUUUGCGCGCCUGCCAGCGCUGUGGCCGAAAGCGCCACUUGAAACUAUGGCGACACCCCUGCGGUCAUUACUUCUGCCGCGUCUGCAUGGACACAAUCAUAGAUGCUGGCUUCCGGAACAUUGAGGGCCUGGACUCAAGUCCGUGCCCUUUGUGCAGAGCACAGGCGAUCACUGCUGUGUGAUUCUCCAAAGCUAUGCAGUUAGAUAGUGGGAGAAUAAGGACAAUAUUUUAGACAACGGUAGUAUGAAGGGGGAAUGAAAUGGUUAGCAAUAGAUUAGGCUAAAAGUAAGAUUUUUUUCUAUGUAAUGCUUCAUCAAGAAACUGUUACAUUAUUAUGGUGCUGGUGUGUAAUAAAAAAAAAAUGCUCA